UACGUAGGGUGCGAGCGUUAAUCGGAAUUACUGGGCGUAAAGCGUGCGCAGGCGGCUUUGCAAGACAGAUGUGAAAUCCCCGGGCUCAACCUGGGAACUGCAUUUGUGACUGCAAGGCUAGAGUGCGGCAGAGGGAGAUGGAAUUCCGCGUGUAGCAGUGAAAUGCGUAGAUAUGCGGAGGAACACCGAUGGCGAAGGCAAUCUCCUGGGCCUGCACUGACGCUCAUGCACGAAAGCGUGGGGAGCAAACAGG
rnacentral:rRNA from 1 species